rnacentral:rRNA from 1 species
UAGGGAAUAUUGCACAAUGGGGGAAACCCUGAUGCAGCGACGCCGCGUGAGUGAUGAAGGCCUUCGGGUCGUAAAGCUCUGUCGUAUGGGACUAACACAAUGAAGGUACCAUGCAAGAAAGGAUCGGCUAACUUCGUGCCAGCAGCCGCGGUAAGACGAUGGAUCCUAGCGUUGUUCGGAAUUAUUGGGCGUAAAGCGGGUGUAGGCGGAUUUAUAAGUCAGGUGUGAAAUCCCAGGGCUCAACCCUGGAAGUGCACUUGAUACUGUAGAUCUUGAGUGUGGUAGAGGUUACUGGAAUUCCUGGUGUAGUGGUAAAAUACGUAGAUAUCAGGAGGAAUACCGGAGGCGAAGGCGAGUAACUGGGCCAACACUGACGCUGAGACCCGAAAGCGUGGGGAUCAAACAGGAUUAGAUACCCACGUAGGCCCUGAGCGGGCUGGCAAGGCGCAU